AUUGAACGCUGGCGGCAUGCUUUACACAUGCAAGUCGAACGGAAGCGCGGGCUUCGGCCUGGCGGCGAGUGGCGGACGGGUGAGUAAUGCAUCGGAACGUGCCCAGUAGUGGGGGAUAGCCCGGCGAAAGCCGGAUUAAUACCGCAUACGACCUGAGGGUGAAAGCGGGGGACCGAAAGGCCUCGCGCUAUUGGAGCGGCCGAUGUCGGAUUAGCUAGUUGGUGGGGUAAAGGCUUACCAAGGCGACGAUCCGCAGCUGGUCUGAGAGGACGACCAGCCACACUGGGACUGAGACACGGCCCAGACUCCUACGGGAGGCAGCAGUGGGGAAUCUUGGACAAUGGGGGCAACCCUGAUGGAGCCACGCCGCGUGAGGGAAGAAGGUCUUCGGGUCGUAAACCGCUGUUGUUCGGGAAGAAAAUCUCUGGGCGAAUACCCCGGGGGGAUGACGGUACCGGAAGAAUAAGCACCGGCUAACUACGUG
rnacentral:rRNA from 1 species